rnacentral:tRNA from 1 species
GCCUUUUUAGUGUAACGGUAGCACACUCUACUCGUAUUCGAGUGGUCCAGGUUCAAUUUCCGGCGAGGGCA